ensembl:lncRNA
GCAGGAAAUCCGGGUGUGCGUGCCUCCUCCGGGCCUUCCGGCCUGAGAACUGAAUUGAGGCCCAGAAGUGGCAGGACACCAUCGGUGAUCGUGCUCAUGCCCUGCCCUUGGGGUGACCCCAUUAAAGCAGGACAAACUAAUCCUGUGCUGACUCGGCAAGUGAAGGGCGCCUUGGGGCUACCGGUUUUAUAGUCAUUUUUAAGGGGCCUUUGCCGUCUACAACUCAAUUAAGCAUUUUCAACACUUCAAACUGGAUUUAUCUUUUAUUUCCCUUUAUGUGCUCCAACUUGUCUGAAUUGACAACAAAAUAUCAGGUACUCAAGAACUCAUACCCUCGAUUGGUUAGAUAUUUAAAAUGGUGAACCCCAAAUUGUUGCAAAUCUUCCAGAAACAUGAACAACCCAUGUGUUCAGAUUUCACUUAAUCUGUAAAUGCUAACAUUUGGCUGAGAUUCUCUUAAACCUGACACUUGACGGUUGGUAUGUGACAUUCCUUAGGCACACUCGCCAGCCCCCAUCCCCUGGGAAGACUGUGGGGGUCAGCUGGCAGGAAUAGGAGG